CCAACAUCUGGGGAGGGACAGUGUGAAAGGUUCUGCUCACAGAGGACAGAAGUUUUCCACUGCCUCCAGGGAUGUUUGUACUCCUCCCACAGUAUGUAGUGGCGGAGGCUGUUCUCAGUGUAGCCUUCUAAACUCUGGGAUUCACCUCAGUCCUUUCUUCACCAGGUAUAGACAGAGUGGGUCCAGCAGUAAAACCCACUUGUUCUCCAGUCCUCUCUCUGGUGGUCGGAGUUCACAUGGCUCUGCAGUGCAUGGCACGUUCAUUGCCUUCCCAUUGGUGGGAGAUGUAAAGUGGGCCAACAUGCAAAAAGGGAUCUCGUUUUUACGGACAGAAGAGGGAAACAGUUUUUUGAGGGGCCAGAUAGUGACCUGUGAAUCACAUGGUUGGAAAGCACCUACAAGAUCAUCUAGUCCAACGGUUCUCCCAUUACCAUUGCUACUAAACCAUAUCUCGCAGCUCCUCAUCCAGAUGCCUCUUGAACACUGCCAGGGACGGCGACUCCACCACCUCCCUGGGCAGGCCAUUCCAGUGCCUGACCACUCUCUGAGAGAAAAAGUUUUUCCUUAUGUCUAAUCUAAACCUCCUCUGGUAGAACUUGUGGCCAUUUCCUUUACAAGUAUCCCUUCCUGCAUAUUCUGGUAACUCUUUGGCAUGGGGGAAAACAACUUCUGCAAGAAGCUGUUCCGUAGAGCCACUAAGAUCCCAGAGACUUGGCAGAAGUUUUUGUAUCUUCUUCGUUGUAGGUUAUUUCUUUACCCUCCCUCCUAGGUGUUUCACUAAUUCUUUGUUUUCCCCACCUCCUUUACCAACAGCUUCUGUAGGCUGUAUUUAUAUAUAUAUAUAUAUAUAUAUUUGUCCUUUCUGUGUAAAGCAGCAUGAUUCACAGAAAAAGGCUUUGUAGCUCCUGCUUGGUGACCUCUCCUGGUUCCUCACCUCCUGUUCUCUACUGAUCAGAGCUGUUGCUGAUUAGAUGCUCAGCAGAGGUGAUUGUGCAGCCUCUGACACCUCGCGUCCCCUGCUGCCUAGAUUUCAAAGAGGUAAUCAUUCCCAGAGACCUGCCACCGACCCUUUGCUCGAGCUUUUGUUGGUCACCUUUUGCUGUCUCUUUUCUUAAAGAGCUUGAAGUAUCUGGAUUUUUCUGCUAGGCAAAAAAGGACAUGCACUGAAAUCUUAAUGAUUUUACCAUUCUUUCAGAAUACUUUCACCUGAAACAAAAUUACGUAUUACCUUUAUAUCAAAUUAGUACGUUUUUGGAGUAAAACCUUCAGCUCCUAUUUAGAUGCCUUUUUUCUUUCUUUUUCCCCACUCAAAAACAUGGAGAUGCUGUGAGAUGGGAAGGUUGUUUGGUUCACUACCUGCCCCUUUUAACUCCAUAUACAUCUGCAGGCAUCAUUGCCAGGCAGCAUUACUCCUUCUGGAAGUUGAGCAGAAUGUCGAAAGGGCUUCAGUGCGGGCAAUGACACUGUUCACAGAUUUAACUGUGAAUACUGGAAACAAACAAGAAGGAGAAGAUCUGAACCCUCAGCCAACCUUAAAGAUCAGGAGAGAUCUUUUUGUUCUGGGGUUUACUGUAUGGUUCUUUCAAUGGAAACUUCUGAUGCUGACCAAUCAUCACUAGCCUAGUGUUUGGAGUAGGUCUAGCUAUUUUAUCUUUUUUUUUGCCAUGAAUUACAGGUAACACCCAGUUCCAUAAAGUCUGAGAAGAUAUUUUUGCACACUUUUCACAUUUUAUUCGAAUUCUUAUGAACAAAUAAAGAAAUCAGCAGAGACAAAAUAAACAUAAUUCAUAUUUAGAUUAUUUAAAUGACCAUGCUUUCUCCACAGAGUUAAAAUAGUACAUCAAAAAUCCUAAAUACUAUAUUAAAUCGACUGCAAACAAACAGAACACUGACUUUUAUAAUACUAAAAGCAAAAAGUCCUGUAACUCCCCAGAAGUGCCUUCAUAUGUCUUUGAUGAAUUCAUCUGAGAAAAGAGCUGAAAAUUGAUUUCCAAAAGCAUAAUAUACUUUUUUAUUUCAUUUUGCUUCAAUAAAUGAUACAUUAGAAAUAUUUCCUUUGGGUUCACGGUAAAUAGAUGAGGUAAUGAUUUAGUGGGUUUUUUUCCUUCUCUUCUUUUUUUCCCGUUUUCCAUUUUUCCUCUUUUCAUUUUCCUUUUUUUUUCUUUUUCCUUUCCCCCCCCUUUUCCUUUCCUAUUCUUUUCUUUUUCUUUUUUCCCUUAUCCCCCGUUUUUUUUUUUUUUCUCCUUUUCUUUGGAGUAAAGCAACUUCUGGAUUAUUUCACAUGCACUGACAACAUAAAUAGAAGCUGUUUUCCAGAUGAAGAAUUCUAUGUGGGAUAUGUUAAACGGUCUGCUAAGGACCAGCCUGAAUGCCUGAGGAUUUCUGAACAUCCAUCAGCACUCCAGGAUUUAUGGACUCCUGACUAUGCUCAGCCAAUGAUUAAGACUUCCAUAGCAUUUCUGUCCAUUGAAGGGACCCAUAGUGACUCCAGUGUUACGUACUCACCCCACAACAUCCCCCAGAGCCUCUCCAUGUCUGUGCUGAUUGCUUCCUCCAUGAUUAUUUGGGCAGUUGAUGUUGCUGAAUGUGAGCACCAACUGCUCUCUGGCCUAGGGACAAUGGUGGGACAGGCAGUGAUCACAGAAUCAUAUAAUCAUGAAGGUUGGAAAAGACCUUUAAGAUCACCUUGUCCAACUGUCCACUCACCACCAUUAAGUAAUGCAUUUCCUCCCUCAAACUUGGCCUUCUCCAUCUUCACGUUGUAAUGUAGCUGUUUAUGUGGUUCUCUCCUUGUCCAGUGUGUCUCUUUCAUUUGAUGGAAGUGGAAAGGUGAAGGUCCUUUUUGGGAAGAUGAAGGCCAUUUUGGGCUGUAUCUGGGAAAGCACCUGAGCUUUAGGUACACACUGCCCCUUCAGUCAGUAUGGCAACAUGGACCUAUGGCUUUGUUUGCCAGCAGCCCUCUACACUGAUGCACAGGUGAAGAACUGGUCCAACCCAUGGUGUUCAUCUCACCCUGACAUGGAUCACGUUGGUGUGAGUCAGCUGGGAAUGUCUCUCCAUGGUGAUGAAGAUCUCACCCCCAUCUUCUGUCAGCAGUACAGAAAGCUGUUGAUGCUGGUGCUUCUGCAGUUUCGGCAUUAGUACCAUAAGCUUGUUAAUUGUACAGGGCUGAUUGUUAUGUGUUCUUGUUGAAAACCUAGCAAGAGCCUUCCAAGUCAAGGCUCAAAAAGGUUUUUUUUUUUCCCCAGUUUCUGGAGGUGAAGACGUGAUUCAGCCUGCAAAUCCCUUUACUAUUAUGCCUGUACACCCCCAGCGCUCUGUGCUGCGUCUGUAUGGCUGCACAACUACCCACUGGAUCAAGCCUCCAUUCACCCUUCUCUGCAUAUUGCAAUACCAAUAGCCAGAACUGAAUGAAUGAGAAUGAAAUCAUUCCCUGUAACUUGGGUGGCGUACCUGCUGGGAGGGUGAUUU
ensembl:lncRNA